rnacentral:rRNA from 1 species
UACGUAGGGGGCAAGCGUUGUCCGGAUUUAUUGGGCGUAAAGCGCUCGUAGGCGGUUCGUUGCGUCGUGCGUGAAAGACCCCGGCUCAACUGGGGGAUGUCGUGCGAUACGGGCGGACUGGAGGCCAGUAGGGGGAUGCGGAAUUCCGGGUGUAGUGGUGGAAUGCGUAGAGAUCCGGAGGAACACCAGCGGCGAAGGCGGCAUCCUGGACUGGGCCUGACACUCAGGAGCGAAAGCGUGGGGAGCGAUCCGG